rnacentral:rRNA from 1 species
UACGUAGGGCGCGAGCGUUGUCCGGAUUUAUUGGGUUUAAAGGGUGCGUAGGCGGGCCCUUGAGUCCGGGUUGAAAGGCGGCCGCUCAACGGUCGUGCCGGCCCGGAUACUGGGGGCCUUGAGGGGCCUGGGGGCUGGCGGAAUUUGUGGUGUAGCGGUGAAAUGCUCAGAUACCACAAGGAACACCGAUCGCGAAGGCAGCCAGCCACGGGCCGACUGACGCUGAGGCACGAAAGUGCGGGGAGCAAACAGG